ACUGAAUUGAUAGGAGUGUUACAGUAAUCACCAUCUUUAGUUUUCCACUUGGGGUGACUUAUAUAUCAGCUCCCCAGGACAAAAAGGAUGGAGAAAAAAAUGUUUACAUGUAUUAGUGAUUUUUGCUUUACAAAAUUGUAUUGACUGGUUUGUGUUAAUCAUCUCACGAUCAAUACAUGCGAGAGGUAACUUCGAGAAAGGUGUCUUCGUUGCAGGGAAUUGUGAGACCGCUGGUAGGAUGACUAUAUCCAAACUCUUCUUCUGACUUCCCUAGCAAAUCUUGAAAUGAAGGAUGGUUCAAGAAUGAAACCGGUAUCACGAACCUCUUCUGGUUUUCUCCAACAUAAACUGCAAAGUAUCCCUUGGGAACCUUUUUAGAACUAACCAUACGAGGCAGGCGGAUAGCCAUUGUUGUUUUUGAUGGAUGUAUGCUUCAAAAGGGAAGAAAAGGAAGAUAUCAGAUAACUUGGAAAGCAAGCUUGAGAAUGUUGAAGGGAGAUGUUGCCAAUGAACUUACUCUUACUUGUCUAUAUAGAUGUGUAGGGCAGAGAGGAAAUGAUGUUCAUCUAUUAUUAAGUGGGGGAUGUGGAAUGAGUGGUGAAGGUGCAAUUUCUGGGGUCUGAUCAGUAAAGAGAAAGACAUGGGUUUACGGGGAAUCACAUGGUGUUGUCUUCCAAAGCAUUAUCAAGAAUUCAAUGGCUAAGACUUGAAAGAAAGUUUUCCUACCUUGCCAGGAAAAUGAACCGACUAAGGACCUACUCAGAUAUGGAAGAUUUGGAUUCAUAAAAGCUUCUUCCUAGUAGAAGAUUUUUAUUACUUCACCAUUGACAUUAGAUCCAACCUUUAGAGACAUACAAUCUGUCAUCCAAUGAUAGGGAACAAGUAACAUGGGUGACCUUGACCUCCUAUUUCGUACAGAUUUCACAAAAAAUUUGCAAGACAAUCCAUUGUGAAGAGCGCCUAAAGUGCGUCCUACAGGCUACAACAACUCCUCAUCUGAACCCAACUUGUUGCAUUUUAUCCAGGUUUGUUGUCUAUGCCGUGCUGCAAUCAUAUAGUUCCACAGGGGUGAAGACAAUAUUCAGCUUGACAGCUCACUAAAUUUCUGAUGUCAGGUCAAAGUCAGAAAGCUAUUCAAACUACAAGAAAUUUCAAUGAAGGCUUCUUCUGCACAUGGGACUGUGAGGCUACCCCUUGGAUGAUUCAAAGCCAAACUCCUCUUCAGUCUACUUAUCAGUUCUUGAAAUGAAGGGUGCUUUAAGAAUGAAACAUGAAUUAUAAACCAGCCUCUUUUGGGAUUCACUUACAUAAACAACAAGAUGGCCUUUGGUUAUUUAUGCAGCUGCUGUCACCUUUUGGAUAGUAAUAUGUUUAGUGUGAACAUAUUUGAUGUUACCUUUUGGAAAAAAAAUCUGCUAUUUGAUGUUACAUUCAGUCAUUUGUAUAUUUGUUUCCAUAUACAUGAUUGGAGUUUAGAGUA